AGCAGCCGCGGUAAUUCCAGCUCCAAUAGCGUAUAUUAAAGUUGUUGCAGUUAAAAAGCUCGUAGUUGAAUUUCGGGACCAUCAUGUCGGUCGUGCCUCGGUACGUACUGGUAUUGUUGGUUUCUCCCUUCUGACGAACCAUGAUGUCAUUUAUUUGGUGUUGUGGGGAAUCAGGACUGUUACUUUGAAAAAUUAGAGUGUUUAAAGCAGGCUCACGCUUGAAUACAUUAGCAUGGAAUAAUGAAAUAGGACGUUUGAUUCUAUUUUGUUGGUUUCUAGGAUCGACGUAAUGAUUAAUAGGGAUAGUUGGGGGCAUUAGUAUUCAAUUGUCAGAGGUGAAAUUCUUGGAUUUAUUGAAGACUAACUACUGCGAAAAGCUAUUUGCCAAGGAUGUUUUCAUUAAUCAAGAACGAAGUUAGGGGAUCGAAGACGAUCAGAUACCGUCGUAGUCUUAACCAUAAACUAUGCCGACUAGGGAUCGGAUGAUGUUUAAUUUUUAAUGUACUCAUUCGGCG
rnacentral:rRNA from 1 species